rnacentral:lncRNA from 1 species
GUGGACAUGGGCACCUGCUACUCUAGCUUCUCAUAGGUGUAGUCUAGUUUAUCAGUCAUACUUCUGCCAUUCGCCUGCAUCUCCAUCAGCUAUUAAGGAAGAAGCAACAAAGCAAUGCAGUGGAGAAAAAAACAACACCAAAAUAGAAGUUAGAAGAUCUGGGUUCUGAUGUUAACAAGCCAAGUAACCUUAGAUAAAGUCUGCAAUAUCUUUUUAUCACCAUGAAAACUCAAGUCAAAUAAAUCUACAGGGGCUCUUGGAGACACAGCAUGAUAAAGUGGGAAGAGAAUUGGAGUGUGAGUCAGGAAACGUGAGUUCAAAUUCCAGAUCCAUUACUUAUUGUUUCUGUGAUCUAGAGAAAGUAAUUUUGCC